rnacentral:lncRNA from 1 species
AAGGCCGGCUAAAAUCUACAUUUUCUGAGGCGUUUGUUGAUGAGGCAGCACCUCCCUGCACAAGUGAGGAUUCAUUCGCUGAGCUGCCUUCAGGUGAUUUAUCCGCUUUAGAUGAUGCCAGCCAAGUGCUGCAAAUUUGAAGAGAUUUCUUCCAUAUGGCCAAAACAACAAGUUGAACCGAAAAUGAGUCUAGAACUAGUCCUGCAUUGUACUGCAACCAAAAGUAACAAUUACUUUAAUACAGACCCCUAAAAAAGUCGAGAGUAGUUGUCUAAUCAUGCUAAUAUAGUUAAAUUCCUUGAUACACUCUUGUAAAUAAAACAUAUUAUGAUAUUGAACUAAGUCUAGUGCAAUAAAAAUUAGAUGAGCACAUUCCAUGAUGUAGAACUGUAACUGACGCACCUUUUCCUGCGACAGAUCUGCAAGAACCUGAGCAUACUGAUGUAACAGAUGGACCCUAGUAGAAGGAUGCAGUAUAGAUAGUCCUUGCACUUCCAGUAACAGUGUUGAUUCACAAGAUGCUGGUAAUGUAGCUGAUCCACUAGUUUGUGAACUUUCUGCACCAACAGAACUAGCUGCCUGCUCCUCUGUUUUCAUUAGAACUGUUUUAUCAUGAUGGUGCUGCUUUGACGCACUGAUAGAAGCUCUCAUUGUGGAAUGAUGUUGCAGGGAAGAUUCAAGGUAAUACGAGAAAGAAUUGACCAUAACAUAGUCUUUCUCAAUGGACUCCAUUGAAUCAGAAACUGGAAGGCAAGGCAAACCAAAAUAAAUAAUUCAACAAACUAACAUAGCACAAGCAUAAUUAGGGAAUCCCAAACACAAAAACAGACCUCGAAGCUGAUCCGGCAAGUUUGGAUCUCGGGUAAUAGAUUUCCUCAUCCUAUGAGAUGCAAUAUCUUGCACCUGCCCUUGAACACUCCUAGUGCAGGAUAUACUGCCAUAAUUUCUUUGUGACAAUUUUUGGUCAUGUGCAGAUGGAAAAUCUGAACUCGGAUCUCUGCUAGAUGAGUUGGUGGUUUGCCUGGAACGCAUUUGCAGUAUCUUGUCGGAGACAGAAGAACUAAUCUGUUCGACCGUUGAUUUAAGUGAUGGAAGUACUGAAGGAUGAUCAACAUCCACUUGAUACCUACAUAUUAUAAAUAAGAAACAAUUGUAAUGACUGCAUACGUAUA